rnacentral:rRNA from 1 species
GACGUAGGGCGCGAGCGUUGUCCGGAAUUAUUGGGCGUAAAGAGCUCGUAGGCGGUCUGUCGCGUCUGCUGUGAAAACUCAGGGCUUAACCCUGAGCUUGCAGUGGGUACGGGCAGACUAGAGUGCGGUAGGGGAGACUGGAAUUCCUGGUGUAGCGGUGAAAUGCGCAGAUAUCAGGAGGAACACCGGUGGCGAAGGCGGGUCUCUGGGCCGUAACUGACGCUGGAGGAGCGAAAGCGUGGGGAGCGAACAGG